rnacentral:tRNA from 2 species
GGGGAGAUGGCCGAGUGGCUGAAGGCGGCACCCUGCUAAGGUGUUAUGUGGGCAACUGCAUCGAGGGUUCGAAUCCCUCUCUCUCCG